ensembl:lncRNA
AUGUGGUUAAAAAUGUUAGUCAAUGUAUGGAUGCAUUGCUAUUUACCAAAAUUACUAUUGAAUAAUUUAGAAGAUUCCUGCCCUGUAGAAUGCUACGUGUUAGUUUGUGGGCUUUGGGGAUUGAACCCAGAAACGUUCAGCCUUGAGUCAAGUGUCAGGUUGAGGUUAAUAAUGACUGUUUCGUCUGAUUCAGUAUUGGUCCUUAAUCACAAGUCCUGUCUACUUAUUUUUGGUGCUCACGAAGAUCGUAGCCAAUACACUUGUCUCUCUGUCUCUAGCCCUGCAGAACUAGCUGGCUCCUUCUCACCCUCUCCAUCUCCCCAUCUCAGUCACACCUUCCAAUCACUAAGCAGUGAAAGCCCUGCAGGACUAGCUGGCACACCAAGCUCACCCUCUCCAUCUCCCCAUCUCAGCCACACGCUCCAAUCUGGCACAACAGAGGACAGGCCAUUCUUACCACCCGAGGUCCUUCAGCAAAUUGUACAAGAGACGCUGAGACUGGACAUGGCGAUGCUUGGCGUGUUCAACAGGGUUUCAAACACAUUCCGAGAACUAAUCAAGCCUCUCCAUCCUUCAAUAUAUAAAUGACAGUUUGGCAGGGGACAUUAAGCUUAAUAAAGACAAUCUCAUAUACAUAACGGUUAGAAAGAUUUACAACAAUGCAGGCUGUGGCAGUGGCCUUGCGCUACGCCUCAAAGGCUUCUUAAAAAAGAAGAAUUGGCCAAGCACACCCCUGGUACUGAGGCACGUUGCAUAUGGCAGGUUUGUCAUAAAAGAUGUCUGCAUAGCAUAAUGUUCUUUUAUUACUCCUUUUUUGUUUUAUUUGGGACGUCAUUUUUGCAAUCCCUUUCACUUGUAAAUGUACAUACUACUGUAGUAAAUGUAUCUGCCCAGAAAUGCUGGUAUUUUAUUACUCCUUUCUUUUUUGUUUUUGUGACAAAUGCUAUACGAUGUAUAACAUACAUUUGUGCCUACGAUGUAUGUUGUAAGGUUAAUUGUUACAGAGCAAUUACUGUAUUUUGUCUUUAUUGAAAACAUUCAGUGGGAAAAGUAAGUGAACACUUGGAGUCAAAUGGCCCACUGUUUGAGCCUUCAUAGUGUCUGGUAACUGGAUUUGAACUGCAUAAGGUCCCAAUUGUUAUUUUAAUCUAUUCAUUAUUUAAUUUGGGCAUAUUCUUAAACAACUAUAUCAAACAUCUCACUUAUACCUAAUACCCUACCUAUACUAACCCAGAAGAUAAUGAGCAUGAGAUCAUGGAGCCUCCCUGUAAUGAUCGUGUUGCAUCAAGUUUGAUGCAAAGGUUGGGCCGAGAUCCGACACAUAAAUGUAAGCUAACAUUCUGUAGGCUUAGCUGGCUAACGUACCCGUAUUACGAGAUCGAAGAAGGGGGCACUAACGUCAGUUCUAUGCUGCCCAUACUACUAGAUCGACGAAGAAGAAGGGGGCGUUCCAGCCUGCGUAAACGAGAACGCCCACCACAGGAGAACGCCGGGGGGGCGUUCUAGUCUGCGUAAACGAGAACGCCCACCACACGGGAACGCCCAUUUGUGUCUGCAGUCGGAUGAUAUUGCAACUGGGGGGAAUGAGGACAUUUGUUCAGGUUUGCAGGUCAGGUCAAGGACAGGUUAACAAACCACUGUCUGGACCAGAGCUCUACUGGUAACAAACCACUGUCUGGACCAGAGCUCUACUGGUAACAAACCACUGUCUGGACCAGAGCUCUACUGGUAACAAACCACUGUCUGGACCGGAGCUCUACUGGUAACAAACCACUGUCUGGACCGGAGCUCUACUGGUAACAAACCACUGUCUGGACCAGAGCUCUACUGGUAACAAACCAAUGUCUGGAACAGAGCUCUACUGGUAACAAACCACUGUCUGGACCAGAGCUCUACUGGUAACAAACCACUGUCUGGACCGGAGCUCUACUGGUAACAAACCACUGUCUGGACCGGAGCUCUACUGGUAACAAACCACUGUCUGGACCGGAGCUCUACUGGUAACAAACCACUGUCUGGACCGGAGCUCUACUGGUAACAAACCACUGUCUGGACCGGAGCUCUACUGGUAACAAACCACUGUCUGGACCGGAGCUCUACUGGUAACAAACCACUGUCUGGACCGGAGCUCUACUGGUAACAAACCACUGUCUGGACCAGAGCUCUACUGGUAACAAACCACUGUCUGGACCGGAGCUCUACUGGUAACAAACCACUGUCUGGACCGGAGCUCUACUGGUAACAAACCACUGUCUGGACCGGAGCUCUACUGGUAACAAACCACUGUCUGGACCGGAGCUCUACUGGUAACAAACCACUGUCUGGACCGGAGCUCUACUGGUAACAAACCACUGUCUGGACCGGAGCUCUACUGGUAACAAACCACUGUCUGGACCAGAGCUCUACUGGUAACAAACCACUGUCUGGACCAGAGCUCUACUGGUAACAAACCACUGUCUGGACCAGAGCUCUGACUUGACUUAUGAUGCUAUAGUUAGAGUCAAACACUGCCUGGUGUAUGAAUGGGUUCCACGAUCACAGACAGUGCUAUUGUUGUCAAUUGUUUGAAGACAUGGUGAAUGUCUCAGCAGAAGUGAUGGUAAUUAUGCUCAUGCAUGUCACCUCUUUAUGUUAACCCAUGUGUGUGGUAUAGGGAUUUGUUUUAUUUGAUUAUGCAUGGCUCAUCUUACACAUGUAACACAUGUAGCAAAUUAUGUAUUUUUUAAAUCAGUUGAAUUAAUAAAUUCACAAGUUGAUUUUAAUCCCUGAGUACCUCACUGAUCUACAUUUGAUAUACCUGCAAUGUUUGGGAUAUAUAUUCUUGCCACCGAUUUGAAUGCCAUUUAAAUAGGUUAGUACAAGGCCAUGCACACACACACACACACACACACACACACACACACACACACACACACACACACACACACACACACACACACACACACACACACACACACACACACACACACACACACACACACGAUGCAAAGGAAUUGGCUCCUACAGUCAUACAUAUAAGUUAUUCAUUAGCUUAUCUUACAACUGGGCUCAAUAGUCAGUGAUAUUAGUUAAUCAGUUACUUAAGGUGAUCUUAUAACUGGGUCAAAUUGUUAGAGAUAUUAGUUAUUCAUUAACUUGCUGUAAUGGGGUUGUUGAACAGCUAAGGCCUUUAGUAAAGACUGGAACCACAAAGAGGGGACAUAAAGUGAAUAACAAAGUGGUUAAGUUAGUAAGCUUCUCCACACAGAGCAGCAGCUGGAGCACAAGUUGAAUCAGUCUCUAAAGCGCCACCCAGUGGACAAAGAUGGGACUAGUGAUGAUAGGACGCAUGAAAACCAGACUUACUUUAGACACACAAAUUGAGACUGUUGUGUGUGUGGUCAUAUCCUCCCUCCACACACUGAUGAAGAGGUGGUGGAGACUCCACUGUUGUGUGUGUGGUAAUAUCCUCCCUCCACACACUGAUGAAGAGGUGAUGGAGACUCCACUGUUGGGUGUUUGGUCAUAUCCUCCCUCCACACACUGAUGAAGAGGUGAUGGAGACUCCACUGUUGUGUGUGUGGUCAUAUCCUCCCUCCACACACUGAUGAAGAGGUGGUGGAGAAUCCACUGUUGUGUGUGUGGUAAUAUCCUCCCUCCACACACUGAUGAAGAGGUGAUGGAGACUCCACUGUUGUGUGUGUGGUCAUAUCCUCCCUCCACACACUGAUGAAGAGGUGGUGGAGACUCCACUGUUGUGUGUGUGGUAAUAUCCUCCCUCCACACACUGAUGAAGAGGUGGUGGAGACUCCACUGUGAUGUGUGUGGUAAUAUCCUCCCUCCACAUACUGAUGAAGAGGUGAUGGAGACUCCACUGUGAUGUGUGUGUAUAACAUCCUCCCUCCACACACUGAUGGUCAACCUGGAUGGUGGUUGUCCCGAGCUAUAUACUAUACAGACUAUAUAGAUAUUGUAGCAGGCCAGUGGGUGUGGGGUUUCCACGCUACCAAGUUGAGUAGACAAAUGACGCAACUCACAGAGCAGUUCCAAGCACAGAAUGGUUCAUUUACCUUGUAAAUGAAACCAGGGUGGGAAAAGGGUGUUAUAUGAUCCUGUCCAACACUUUCCACCUCUCACCCCCUCCCUCUCUCUCUCUCUCUCUCUCUCUCUCUCUCUCUCUCUCUCUCUCUCUCUCUCUCUGUCUCUCUCUCUCUCUCUCUCUCUCUCUCUCUCUCUCUCUCUCUCUCUCUCUAUCUCUGCUUCCAGGCGAUCACACAAAUCCUGCCUGUCCUUUCCUAGCCCUAGCUUCCCUAGCUCCAGCUCCUCUUCCAACUCCAACUUCAACUCCCCAGAUGUCUGUUUGCUAGCCCUCUUAACCCCCAGCACCACCUAUAGGGAGGAAGUCCAUAUAUGGCUUGGGGGUGGAGCCAGCAGGUUGCCAGACCUACCACUCCCCUCACUCCUCCCUGGCGUCUGCCACAAUAUAUAGUGUUUGUAUAUAUAUAUCAAAUAAAUGAUUGUGAUGUAAUUGUUCGAUUGGCCGAUUUCAUUUGACGCCUCAAAUAGUGACUUAAAUAGGCCUAUUUUCUUUACGGUAAAAAUGAAAAUGCCAAAAUUAUUUGUAUGCUUUAUUUUGCAUGCAAAUUGUUUCAUAAGGUUUUACCUAAAUAAACAAAAUACAGUUUAUUAUAGCUUUCCAUAGCUGCCUGACUGCUGUGCUGCUCAUCCCCAACAUCUUAAGUUCCAUUCAAGUUAUUUCAGAGUAAAAUGAAUACAAGUGAGACAGACCUUACACACGUACACACACGGAUCUGACUGGGGAUAGGAUAGGUUAAUUCACUUGAGGUGGUAAACAGGUUAUGUUUUUAAACUGUUUAUUCUCUUGCCAGAAGGACUAUCUAGACUAGGCUACUUUUAAAUAUUUGUAAUUUUAUUUAUUUUACCCAAAAAAUUAUAUUCGGGGCUAAUAAAAAUGGUUAAUGUAUUAAACAAUGUAGAUUGUUAAAUGCAUGAAUAGGCUUGAAUUUAGUAGUAACAUGGAUGUUUUAUAUUUUUACAAAAUGGAUAAUGUGAACAUUGCCGAAUAACAUUCAUCAUGUAUAUUAAAUGUAUGGCAGGAGUUUAGCUUGAC